GGGCGCGGGGGCGCGGGGGCGCGGGGACCGUCGCCUCUGCCCCGCGCACCGCCGGGUGCCCAGCCGCGGGGUCCUCCGUCCCGUUUUAGGGCCUCACCGCCCUUGAGACAAAUAGAAAUAAUAAUAAUAAGUGACCUGAGGUCGGAUCGUGAUGCCAGGAGCCCUCACAGCUUUGUCAGUGGAAUGCACGCUUUCUGGAAGGAAAUUGAGAAGGAACGGAGAGCUUAAAGAAUGCUCACGACCUGAAGUUCCAAGUAAUGGGAGACAAGUGCAAUAGGAUGUCAAUAGAGAUGUUGGCUGGGCCCUGGCUAAGUACCAAAGCUGUGCACAGAAGGUGAUCCAACUGAGAGUCUCCAGCAACCUGCAAUAGUUCCUCAAGACCAGAUAGUCUUACUGGCUUUGUCCCCAUGGCAAACUUCAAGGCCAACAAAAGACAAAGGAGGAGGCAAGACUGCCUCUGAACAAAUGAAUAUAAGUUUCAUGAGAGCAAGAGUAUUGUCUAUUUUGUUCAACUAUGGUACCCUGCAGAGCCUACAAGAGCUCCUUUUGCUCAGAAGCUGGCGCUCACACACCUCCCGCUCCCUUCUUCCUCCCUGUGUGAUGCUGCAAGGAACUCUCAAAAGUGAGGCCCUGGAAAAGAGUCCAGACUGACCUAAAUGGAAAGCAAGCAGCAGAUACGAAGGCUGUGGAUGCACCGAUUGCCAACUCCAUCAUUUUGCAAGCACGAAGCUUCAAAACUUGAGUGAAAAGCUGAUAAACUUGACGAUGUGUGUAUAUGUGAAGUACCUCGUUUAACGACAGGUGUGGCUCAUCAUGGAAGUGUAUAUUUCUCAAUUAUGCAGUUGGCUGGGCUUCUUUGACUUGGUGACACUACCAUCUCAACACAAAACCUCUGCAUUCAACACAACAGGAAAAAAGGAAUGUUUCAG